CGCCGGCGGCCCCCUCGUUAUGCGUCUCUACUUCCUCCGUGGCGGCAACCGUGUCUGGCUUUCCAGCUUCCUCGAAACAGCCGGCUUCCCCUUCAUGCUACUCCCCCUCGCCGUCUCUUACUUCCGCCGCCGCGCAGCGGCUGCAACGGCAGGAACCGCUAAACCCAGUCCGGUCUCGAUGAAACCCCCUCUCCUCGCGGCCUCCGUCUUCAUCGGAGUCCUCACCGGCCUCGACGACUACCUCUACGCCUACGGCGUGGCGCGCCUCCCCGUGUCCACGUCAUCACUCAUCAUCGCCACACAACUCGGCUUCACCGCGCUGUUCGCGUUCUUACUGGUGCGCCAGAAGU
rnacentral:lncRNA from 1 species